rnacentral:rRNA from 1 species
GCAAGUCGAGCGCUACCUUCGGGUGGAGCGGCGGACGGGUUAGUAACGCGUGGGAACAUACCCUUUUCUACGGAAUAGCCUCGGGAAACUGAGAGUAAUACCGUAUACGCCCUUCGGGGGAAAGAUUUAUCGGUGAAGGAUUAGCCCGCGUCUGAUUAGAUAGUUGGUGGGGUAACGGCCUACCAAGUCUACGAUCCAUAGCUGGUUUGAGAGGAUGAUC